GGCGAGAUAGUUUGAUUAAAAACGUCUAUCUUACACGUAGGAGUUGAUUUGGUGUCUAUCGCCA
rnacentral:tRNA from 1 species